UGGAAUCUCACUUCCCCAAGGCAGGUCAUGGAAACUGGAACCCUCUUGCCCCAAAGUCAGCUUUACAGUCUAAAAAUAUUACUAUAACUUUACACCAGACUUUCUGUGUAAAAACUGACUGUAGAUAACCUGACCUAUCUUGUUUGACUGUAGGUCAUAAGACCCCCUUUCCAGAGAGGGUCCUGCCCCAUACCCAGAAGGAAGGAAUGGUGAGAGGCAUUCCUACACAGAGAGGCUAAGAAAAAUCUAGACAGACAGGCCUUGCUAGGUUUUCUCACUCAGUCUGUCGGCAUUAGGUCCAAUCAUUUUCCUACAAGGCUGUCCGUACUUUGUUGAAACUAAGCAUAAAAAUGGACAGUUUCCUCUGUAUCUUUGGGUCUUCAUUCUGAAGGCUCCCAUGUCACAUAAAACUAUAAUCAAAUAAAUUUGUAUGCCUUUUCUCCUAUUAAUUCAACUUUUGUCAGUGACUUUUAGUGAACCCUCGGAGGGCAAAAUGGCAGCUUUCCUUUCCCCUCUACAACACCUACAUGAUGCCUUAUAUGUAAUAGUGAACUUUUCAUAGCAUUCUCACUAAAGUCAGGAAGAAGAAAGGAUGCCCAUAACACGUUUCUAUUUAACACUGUCCUGGAAGCCCAAUAAAAUAGAUCAAGAAAGAGACAUAAGAGGUAUAAAGACUGGAAAAGAAGAAACAGUGUUGUUAGCUUGUGGUGAUACCGUUGUAAAAAUUGAAAAUCCAAGAAAACCUACAAAUUAUAAGAAUGUUAAUUAGAGUUCAGUAAGGUUACAGAAUGCAAGAUCAGUAUUAAAACAUCAGUGGGACUGGGCAUGGUGGCUCACGCCUGUAAUCUCAGCACUUUGGGAGGCCGAGGCCGGCGGAUCACCUGAGGUCAGGAAUUUGAGACCAACCUGCACAACAUGGCAAAACCUCGUCUCUACUAAAAAUGCCAAAAUUAGCUGGGUGUGGUGGUGUGGGCCUGUAAUCCUAGCUACUCGGGAGGCUGAGGCAGGAGAAUCACUUAAACACGGGAGGUGGAGGUUGUAAUGAGAGGGUACCUAGGGAUGAAUCUAAUAAAACAUAUGCAAACAUUUAUAAAGAAUAAUGUAAAGUUUUAUUGAAGCCCAAUGUAAAGGAAAUGAUAUACCAUGUUCAAGAUUAGGAGGCACAAUAUUAUAAAGAUGUAACUUCUGGCAUUAAAACAUAAAUUCAAUCUAGCUCCCAACACAAUUUUUUAGGAGACCCGAUAGGCUCAUCUGAAAAUUCAUAUGAUGAGUAAAUGGCCAAGAAUGGCCACAACAAUUUUGAAGAAGGGUAUGGUGGUGUGAGAAUUAAUAUACCAGAUAACAAGACUUUGUAUAAAAUAUGGUAAUAAAACAGUGGAGCACCAGGACAGGAAUAGAUACACAGAAAAAUGGGCCAGAAAAGCCUGGACUAACAUUUGGGCAUAUGUAGACACUCAGAAGAUGACAAAGAUGGCAUAAAAGAUAAGCAGGAAAAGGAUGAGUUACUCAGAUACAAAUGGAUUCAUCAGGGAAAUAAAAAGUAAAAUAACAAUGCAUCAUUUUAUGCUCAUUGAAUUGUCAAACAUUAAAAUAUCUGACUGCAUCAGGUAGUGAUAAAGAUGACGAGAAAUGGAAAUACUACACUGAUGGCAAGGGUACACAUCAGUAAAACUGCUUUGGAGAGGAAGCAAUUUGUCAGCAUCUAGGAAAUAUUAAGAUAUGCAUUUUACAUGACCCAACAAUUCCACCUCUAGGUGUAUAUUUUGGAGAAACUUUUGCACAUAUUCCAGUGAGACUGGCAUAGGAAUGCUCAUUGCAUAGUCAUUUAUGGCAGUGAAAAUCAAAUGUUGCUAAAUAGGGGGAUUAAUAAAUAGUAUAUAUGUGUAAAAUUAUAGCAGUGGUAUACACACAACUUUUGUCAUUUAUGGCAAUGAAAAUUAAAUGCUGAUAAAUAGGGAGAUUAAUAAAUUAUAUGUAUAUGUACAAUUACAGCAGCUAUAUGCAUAAAGCAGUGAAAAUUAGAUGUAGAUAAAUAGGGAGAUUAAUAAACUGUAUAUGUGUAUACAACCACAGCAGUUGUAUGCAUAAAGCAGUGAAAAUUAAAUGUUGAUGAAUAGGGAGUUUAAUAGAUUGUAUAGAUGUAUAAAACUAAGCAGCUGGAGCUAUUUGUAUCUCAAAAACCCAAUGCCGAAUGAAAGAAAAUCAAAGUGCAUAAAGAUAUCUGCUAUUUUUUAUGCAAAACUCAUAAAUACCAAAGUAAUUGGUCAUAUUAUUUAGGGAUAGAUAAAUAUGAGGUGAAUGCAUUUUAAAAAUAGCUGGGAAGGAUAUGUAAUAACUUUAGGAUUGUAGUUACUGCUGAAGAGAGAGGUAGAGAAUUUGGUUGUUGAGGGAUGUAAAUACAGCAUCUGUGAUAUUAAAUGAAUCUUUGUUAAAGAAAGGAACAGACAAGGCAAAAUAUGAAUAUUUAAAGAUUUGGAUGUGGGUAAAUGAGCCUUUGUUAUGUUUUUCUAUAUAUGUUCAAGUAUUUGUGAAAUAUUUUAUGCAAUAAAUAAAAGAUCACAAAUGGAUGAUGAACUCACAGCUGGUUUUAAGUAAAGACUGAAUAAUUCCAGUCAGGAAAACACGAACAAAAGAAAAUGUGAAACUUUGGUCCUGAGAUUUGUGGCUUGUUAAAUGAAAGUUGAUCAUAUCUCAGGUUUGGAAACAUGGGAAAGUUGAUCGAAUCUCAGGUUUGGAAACUCUCCUUUUGAUUGUUCUUUGUUGUUCCCAGGAGAAGUUCCAAGAAACUUCUGGGUGCUUCCAAGCAUGCUUGCAUUUUUAAGGCUCGAGUCUGGCAGAUGAAUAAAGACUGGGGAAAUGUGUGUUCAGUUUUGAUUUAGAAUUAGUAGGAAAAUAAACUCAGAGGUGUUCAAAGAUGAGCACAAAAAUUUCUGCCUGAAAAAAAUGCCAUGGGUGAGUGUCCUAAGAUAAAUGUUUUCGCAUAUGUCUGCAUACUUUAUUUCCGGAGUUAAAAUGCAGUUCCCCCUCCUUCUUUAAAAAAAUCUAUUCUAAU
rnacentral:lncRNA from 10 species